UCUGGUGUCAGCCGCCGCGGUAAUACCAGCUCUCCGAGUGGUGUGGAUGUUUAUUGGGCCUAAAACACCCGUAGCUGGCCAAGUUAGUCCCCUGUUAAAUCCACCGAAUUAAUCGUUGGAGUGCGGGGGAUACUGCUCGGCUAGGGGACGAGAGAGGCCGACGGUAUUUUCGGGGUAGGGGUGAAAUCCUAUAAUCCUGGGAGGACCACCAGUGGCGAAGGCGGUCGGCUAGAACGCGCCCGACGGUGAGGGACGAAAGCUGGGGGAGCGAACCGGAUUAGAUACCCGGGUAGUCCCAGCUGUAAACUAUGCGGGCUAGGUGUUGGAGCGGCCACGAGCCGCUUCAGUGCCGCACGGAAGCAAUUAA
rnacentral:rRNA from 1 species